rnacentral:misc_RNA from 1 species
CAUCCUCAGCCAAGGUCUUUGAGAGCAAAUACCAAAGCUUUGAUUCCUUACAGAAGUCCGGAUCAGAAAACCAAGUUUCAUCCACUACUACCUCUGGAGUCCGAGGUUUUCCAUUGUAAGCAACUGCAGCAACUGAUGAUGUCAAGACAACUCGUUUGAUUGAUGGGACCUUUGCACAUGAGUUAAGAACAUUAAGUGUUCCCUUCAAAGCAGGAUCAAUUAAUUCAGCCUGAAAUGAGAAGAUAAGCUUUAGAGAAGAAGUUCUGCUUACACAUUAAAAAGCAACAAAUGGAUAUCCAAUUAGAUACAUAAUUACAUUGCAUAAGAGUCUGUCGCCAUAUGUUCAUAAACACUUGGUAGAAGAGAUAAUUAAAUGGUUCAACUAGGAAUAUUCCAACCAAUUUUAUAAGCAAGGUAUCUUUGAUAUACUCAAUUACAACCCAUUCUCUUUUAGUAGAACAAACAAUAGAAGGAUGCUAAAAAAUGAUAUGCAUAAUAUAAUUCUGCCAAAAGGCAUAAAACCAAACAUUAAUAUAUAAGGGCCUUGGCCAUAGGAGCAAGCAGCUAUGGCAAGAAAAGAGAAGUUCCCAGAUGAAAAUGUCUACAUAAUCAAACAUUGUAAGAUUAAAACUAUCCUGGAUAAAUUUUGAAUUAGAUACCAGUACAAGACAAUGAAACCAGACAUAAAACAUAAAAGCUGUUGUAUAUUCUCAAUAUUCCAAUGGUUGUGUUGUGAAAAUGUGAUCAGAAGCUCAAGACAAUUUUAUCAUUUCAAAAAAUAAAAGAGACAAGCAAGUCAGGUCUUCCCUACCAAAUGAGUUUAUGUAACACCUUAAAAGUUAAACAUCUUUUAGAAAAGGUGACAGUGCAACCAUAUGGUGCAAUAACUGAGAUUGCAAUGGGCUAAAAUAAUAAAUGCUAAAUCCAGGAGGCCAGCGUAGAAUUGCUGGCGAAUUUGAGAAUUCUGAAAUCAGUAAGAGCACUAAAUGGACUCCGAAAGAGAUCAUCACCAGAGUCGUAACAUUCACUGAAUAUCUUUAAUUAUCUAUCUAUUAACUUUUCAUUAUCAUAUCUACAGGUGCUAAUUACAAGCUAUACAGAACUGCACAGGUCCUGAAUUCCAGAAGGAAGACAAAUGUGAAAAUACUUGUGGGAAACCAUAAAGUUUCUUUCUUGUAUUUCAGGAAAAAUAAGUUAAGCACACAAGAAACAAGUAACCUUUUAAUACGACCAAGUAUGUAAUGUAAGACUAACCUGUGGGUCCUUAAAAUCAUGAUAAAAAGGAGAUGCAGUAUGGAAAACACCUUCACACCCUUCAACAGCAGCAUCAAAGGAACCUUCUUCCAGUAGGUUUGCUUUAAACAGCUGAAGUCUCUCCUCAGCUCCUUUAAGUGCGCUUAAGUGUUCAGUCUUUCUGGGAUCAUUUGGAUCACGAACAGAGGCCUUGACAGUAUAGCCACGGACGAGAAGGAGCUUCACAAGCCAGGAAGCAAUGUAACCGGAGGCUCCGGUGACGCACACGAUCUUCCCUGCUCCACCGCUCAUUUUCGUUUUCUCUCUUUUCUCGUCGUCUCGUCGUCUCGUCGUUGUACUUGCAGUUGUUCUUGCUCGUAUGGCAAUCAGCCACUGCUGCUUCUCCUCCUCUCAGCUCGCCAAAUAUCUGCCCUCUUUUAAAGCAAUUACAAUGGUAACCGUUCGUGCCUCUUACCUACCAUAAACACGCCGUGCUGUCGUAUGCACAGACGUAGGCAAUGAUUCGGUGAUAAUAUGAUGGGUAAUUUGCCUGGUGCUGAGCGUGAAAAAAAUUUCUAAAUUGGUAAAUAAGAGGCUUAUCUGCUGUUUCUUGCAAAAGAGUAAAGUUUGAAAAAGAAAAGGGAAAUAAGAUUUAUAUGGAAAGUUUCUUCCAAAAGCAAGUAAUUUAUUUAUUUUUAAUAUUUUCCUUUUAGUUGCUUGAAAAUUUUACAG